rnacentral:rRNA from 1 species
GACGAAGGAUGCAAGCAUUAUCCGGAUUCAUUGGGUUUAAAGGGAGCGUAGGCGGCCUUGUAAGUCAGUGGUGAAAUCUCGCAGCUUAACUGCGAAACUGCCAUUGAUACUGCAGGGCUUGAGUACAGAUGCUGUGGGCGGAAUAUGACAUGUAGUGGUGAAAUACAUAGAGAUGUCAUAGAACACCGAUUGCGAAGGCAGCUCACAAAACUGUAACUGACGCUGAGGCUGGAAAGUGUGGGGAUCAAACAGG